UUCUCUUUCAAGAUUGAUGGAACAGCAAUUCCCAACACUUCUUGAAGCCGUUUUAUAGCGGCUGUAGUGCCUGAUCCACAGAAAAGGAGUGCAUCAUGUUGGGUUCCUCCUAAGCAUUUCUUCACAAAUUCAGUUGCCUCAUGGAGCAUUUUCAUCGUCCUAUCGCCAACAUAGUUGUCAGAUGUGUUACCAUAAAAGGGAAGAAGAUUCUGGAUGAUAUAUUCUUCAAUGUAACGAAGACAACGGCCUGAGGCUGUAUGAUCUGCAUACGUAAGUUUACGCGAUCCAAAUGGAGUCUGAAUCUCAGCAAACCCGCCUAUGAUUUGUGAUCGCAGCCACCUUAGUUUUGCUUCAACACACGUAUCACUCUUUGGUGCGUCUCUGUCAACGAUCCCAUCGCUAAGCAGCAUACUAUAUUCAUUAAUCUUUCUUGCGAGUUGCUGUUGAUGUUCCACCAUAUUCUCUUUGGUAUAUUGCGC
rnacentral:lncRNA from 1 species